rnacentral:tRNA from 1 species
GGCUCUGUAGCACAAUGGACAGCGCGUUGGACUUCUAAUUCAAAGGUUGUGGGUUCAAAUCCCACCAGAGUCA